rnacentral:rRNA from 1 species
UGCGUUCGAUUAGCUAGUUGGUGGGGUAAAGGCCUACCAAGGCUACGAUCGAUAGCUGGUCUGAGAGGAUGAUCAGCCACACUGGGACUGAGACACGGCCCAGACUCCUACGGGAGGCAGCAGUGGGGAAUAUUGGACAAUGGGUGCAAGCCUGAUCCAGCAAUGCCGCGUGGGUGAAGAAGGUUUUCGGAUUGUAAAGCCCUUUUGGCGGGGACGAUGAUGACGGUACCUGCAGAAUAAGCCCCGGCUAACUUCGUGCCGGCAGCCGCGGUAAUACGAAGGGGGCUAGCGUUGCUCGGAAUGACUGGGCGUAAAGGGCGCGUAGGCGGCGAUCAAAGUCAGGCGUGAAAUUCCUGGGCUCAACCUGGGGGCUGCGCUUGAUACUUGGUUGCUUGAGUGGGGAAGAGGGUCGUGGAAUUCCCAGUGUAGAGGUGAAAUUCGUAGAUAUUGGGAAGAACACCGGUGGCGAAGGCGGCGACCUGGUCCUUGACUGACGCUGAGGCGCGAAAGCGUGGGGAGCAAACAGGAUUAGAUACCCUGGUAGUCCACGCCGUAAACGAUGUCGAUUUGGAGGUUGUGCCCUUGAGGCGUGGCUUCCGGAGCUAACGCGUUAAAUCGACCGCCUGGGGAGUACGGCCGCAAGGUUAAAACUCAAAUGAAUUGACGGGGGCCCGCACAAGCGGUGGAGCAUGUGGUUUAAUUCGAUGCAACGCGAAGAACCUUACCUACUCUUGACAUCCACGGAACUUGCCAGAGAUGGCUUAGUGCCUUCGGGAACCGUGAGACAGGUGCUGCAUGGCUGUCGUCAGCUCGUGUUGUGAAAUGUUGGGUUAAGUCCCGCAACGAGCGCAACCCUUAUCCUUUGUUGCCAGCACGUAAUGGUGGGAACUCAAAGGAGACUGCCGGUGAUAAACCGGAGGAAGGUGGGGAUGACGUCAAGUCAUCAUGGCCCUUACGAGUAGGGCUACACACGUGCUACAAUGGCGUAUACAAAGAGAAGCGACCUCGCGAGAGUCAGCGGACCUCAUAAAGUACGUCGUAGUCCGGAUUGGAGUCUGCAACUCGACUCCAUGAAGUCGGAAUCGCUAGUAAUCGUAGAUCAGAAUGCUACGGUGAAUACGUUCCCGGGCCUUGUACACACCGCCC